GGGGAAUAUUGCACAAUGGGGGAAACCCUGAUGCAGCGACGCCGCGUGAGUGAAGAAGUAUUUCGGUAUGUAAAGCUCUAUCAGCAGGGAAGAAAAUGACGGUACCUGACUAAGAAGCCCCGGCUAACUAC
rnacentral:rRNA from 1 species